ensembl:lncRNA
GUUCAAACAAGGGAAUUUCCUCCCUGGUCCUGGGGGAGUAGCUGGGAAUUACACAUCCCUUAGGAGAGGAGAGGGAGCUCCAUGGAUUGUGGGACAGUGCUGGCACUCAGAACCAGCAGAACUGGGGGAUUCUCAGACAUGCCUGCAAAGGGUUCAUACGGCUGCAAGAUUUGAAUUCGCAGUCAGUGGAGCUGGAUGCAGCCACGGUGGGAAUAAUGAGAGGCUGCAUGGCCAUGUGGACGCCUGCAGUGCCAGUCCUGAGGUGGGAUCGCAGCCCUGCAGCAUCCCAGAAAAGCAAAGAUCCUGUAACAGCACGACGGGGGAGUGGAAGGAAAGUUUCUGAGCCUGUGAUCCUUUCCUUGGGUCUGAAACAGAAACACUUCAAGCUGUGCAGCAGGAUGGGGACGCUGCUGGAUUCCAUUGGUGAAGCUGGGAGUUGUACCAAGGAAAAAAGAGAAACAGCAAACAUCCUCCAGGAGGUCUGGCCACAGGACAAUGGCCAGCGCGUUUCAGCGGCUCCAUGGAGUCCUGCGGCCACGUCGGUGGAUAAGCUGCACAGGGAGUGCUUUAAAUCCAUGUGGAAGCUCAAGUUCCUUUUCACACUGGCUAGUUAACUUGAAUUCUGGCAUAUAUUUGGAUUAAUGUUUAACCCUUCAGUCUUUGUCCCUGGCUGAAUGGCCCUGGAGAUAUGCAGCUGCCUUAUAAGAAGUAAAAGUUGAUGCCCACGAGAGCUAGUGCUGUGUGCAGGAGUGCUCCUCCCAUCCCUCUGUUGGAGUGGUCCAAAGGAUGGAGCAUCUCAGCUGCUGGGAAAUGU